rnacentral:rRNA from 1 species
GACGAACGCUGGCGGCGUGCUUAACACAUGCAAGUCGAACGGAGUGCCUAUGACAGAGGUUUCGGCCAAUUGAUUAGGUUACUUAGUGGCGGACUGGUGAGUAACGCGUGAGGAACCUGCCUUUCAGAGGGGGACAACAGUUGGAAACGACUGCUAAUACCGCAUGACAUAGCGAAGAGGCAUCUUUUGCUAUCAAAGAUUUAUCGCUGAUAGAUGGGCUUGCGUCCGAUUAGAUAGUUGGUGAGGUAACGGCUCACCAAGUCGACGAUCGGUAGCCGGACUGAGAGGUCGAACGGCCACAUUGGGACUGAGACACGGCCCAGACUCCUACGGGAGGCAGCAGUGGGGGAUAUUGCACAAUGGGGGAAACCCUGAUGCAGCGACGCCGCGUGAGGGAAGACGGUCCUCUGGAUUGUAAACCUCUGUCUUCGGGGACGAAAGAAGACGGUACCCGAGGAGGAAGCCACGGCUAACUACGUG